ACGAUCCAACCGUUCAAUUUAAAGUUCUUAAUGCAUAGAUCAAAUCUGUAAAUUUUUAAAAAAUUUGAAAAUUAUUUGAUACUUCGUUUCAUUAAUUUGAAUCAAUGUAUAAAAUGAUUUUAUGAUUAUCCAUCAAUUUAAAUUAAUGAAAUAAAGUAUCAAAUAAUUUUCAAAUUUUUAAAAAAUUUACAAAUUUGAUCUAUGAAUUAAGAAUUUUAAAUUAAACAGUUUGAUAUU
rnacentral:miRNA from 1 species